rnacentral:rRNA from 1 species
UACGUAGGCAGCAAGCGUUGUUCGGAAUUACUGGGCGUAAAGAGUGCGUAGGCGGUUGGCUAAGUUUGGUGUGAAAUCUCCCGGCUCAACUGGGAGGGUGCGCCGAGGACUGGCUGGCUAGAGUGUGGGAGAGGAAAGUGGAAUUCCUGGUGUAGCGGUGAAAUGCGUAGAUAUCAGGAGGAACACCGGUGGUGUAGACGGCUUUCUGGACCACUACUGACGCUGAGGCACGAAAGCGUGGGGAGCAAACAGG